rnacentral:rRNA from 1 species
AUUGAACGCUGGCGGAAUGCUUUACACAUGCAAGUCGAACGGCAGCACGGACUUCGGUCUGGUGGCGAGUGGCGAACGGGUGAGUAAUGUAUCGGAACGUGCCCAGUCGUGGGGGAUAACGUAGUGAAAAUUACGCUAAUACCGCAUACGAUCUAUGGAUGAAAGCGGGGGAUCGCAAGACCUCGCGCGAUUGGAGCGGCCGAUAUCAGAUUAGGUAGUUGGUGGGGUAAAGGCCCACCAAGCCAACGAUCUGUAGCUGGUCUGAGAGGACGACCAGGCACGCUGGAACUGAGACACGGUCCAGACUCCUGCGAGAGGCAGCAGUGGGGAAUUUUGGACAAUGGGCGAAAGCCUGAUCCAGCCAUUCCGCGUGCAGGAUGAAGGCCCUCGGGUUGUAAACUGCUUUUGUACAGAACGAAAAGGUUUCUACUAAUACUAGGAGCUCAUGACGGUACUGUAAGAAUAAGCACCGGCUAACUACGUGCCAGCAGCCGCCGUAA